UACGGAGGGAGCUAGCGUUGUUCGGAAUUACUGGGCGUAAAGCGCAUGUAGGCGGCUUUGUAAGUUAGAGGUGAAAGCCCGGGGCUCAACUCCGGAACUGCCUUUAAGACUGCAUCGCUUGAAUCCAGGAGAGGUGAGUGGAAUUCCGAGUGUAGAGGUGAAAUUCGUAGAUAUUCGGAAGAACACCAGUGGCGAAGGCGGCUCACUGGACUGGUAUUGACGCUGAGGUGCGAAAGCGUGGGGAGCAAACAGG
rnacentral:rRNA from 1 species